GUCGAGAUGGCCGAGUGGUUAAGGCGUAUGACUUGAAUUGUCUGUUUCGGAUAAUUGUUAUCAUAUGGGUUCUCCCGCGUAGGUUCGAACCCUGCUCUCGACG